CCAGUAUUGUGCUCAUGAAAACAUGGAGUGCAAACUAGACAGCCCUUGUUCUGAACUUUCACGAUGUGAUGGUUUAGAGGUAGAUAAAGCUGUUUCAGAUUUGUGGAUAGACAUCAAUACAGUGAAGAGUGGCGUUCUGGCAGUAUUUUUUUAUCUCAUCUGCAGACUAUUACAAGAUUUAUUAAGAUGGCCAGUUAGAUUCAUAUUCUCUCUCACAGGACUGUCUUUCCUGUGGAGUCUGCUUGUGCAUGUGGCCCGGGGUUUACUAGUCAUGUUAAAAUGGUCAACACACAUAUGGAGCUUUGUUGCCGUUCUGCUGUCCAUGUUCUCCAAAAUCAGCUGGGUACCUGAUGCCUUCAGGAGUGUAGCAGGGUCCUUUAUAAAUGUGAAGCAGUACUGUGAAGGGCUCUCGAAGCGCACUGCCUCCAUUUCAGAACAUCUUUCCUUAACCACAACUUUAAGACCUCACGUCAGAGACCCUGGGCUUCGGGUAAUUGUGCUGGGCCCGAGCAGAGGGAUGUGUGGCAGCCUGAGAGACAGCCUUUUGGGUUACAGUGCAGGAGCUCUAGCCCCUGAUAUCGAGAGCACUACCUGGAGAGCAAAGGUAGACGGGAGAGAAGUGACUGUUGUUGAAACUCCUGAUCUCUUUGGUACGUCUCUGAGUGUAAAACUGCAAGCACAAGAAGCCCUACGAAGCCUCCAGCUGACCUCACCUGGUCCUCAUGCUCUUCUGCUUGUGCUUCCAACAACUUACUUGGAUAAGGUUUAUCAAAACAGUGCACAGAGCUUCUUCUUAAGGUUGCUUCAUUUACUGGGUGAAGAAGCAGCGAAGUAUGUGCUGGUGGUUUUCACUUGUGUAAAUCUACGGGGGGGCUUCUCCUCUCUGGAGCAGCUUCUGGAAGAAGACUAUCUAGGAAUAAAGGCCGCUCUGCCUCUGUGUGGGGACAGAGUGGAUUUGGUUAACAUCAGUCCGGGUCGCUCUAUAGAAAGCAGGAUGGUUGAGGGCAGAAGGCUGCUGGACAGAGUAGCGAACAUGAGAACGCAGCAGGGUCACUUCAUUCACGAGUUCCAACAGCAGGAAGAUCAGAUCAGGACAGAACUGCUAAACGACAUGACUUUACAGAUAGAACAAAAACUGGAAGGUCUGAAAAAGUAAAUUGGAGAUGACAAACAUAAAUGACUAUCAUUUAUAAUUAUUAUGUUUUGUACAAGUACAAGUACAAGUGCAACAGAUUGUAUCUUUUUUUUUUUAUAAUACCUUAUUGUGAGUUGUGUCCUGACAAAUCCCUGUCCCAGAUUAGUUUUUUUUGUUUGUUUUCCUCAAUAAAAUUAUUUUUUGUAAUCUAAUACA
ensembl:lncRNA